GACGAACCGUGCGAACGUUAUUCGGAAUCACUGGGCUUAAAGCGCGUGUAGGCGGGCCGCCGCGUCGGCUGCUGAAAUCCCCCGGCUCAACCGGGGAACGGGCGCCGAUACGACCGCCCUGGAGGGGCGUAGGGGGAUCGGGAACUUCCGGUGGAGCGGUGAAAUGCGUUGAGAUCGGAAGGAACGCCCGUGGCGAAAGCGCGGUCCUGGACGCUUACUGACGCUGAGACGCGAAAGCCAGGGGAGCGAACGGG
rnacentral:rRNA from 1 species